UACGAAGGGGGCUAGCGUUGUUCGGAUUUACUGGGCGUAAAGCGCGCGUAGGCGGAUCGUUAAGUCGGGGGUGAAAUCCUGGAGCUCAACUCCAGAACUGCCUUCGAUACUGGCGAUCUCGAGUCCGGAAGAGGUGAGUGGAACUCCUAGUGUAGAGGUGGAAUUCGUAGAUAUUAGGAAGAACACCAGUGGCGAAGGCGGCUCACUGGUCCGGUACUGACGCUGAUGUGCGAAAGCGUGGGGGGCAAACAGG
rnacentral:rRNA from 1 species